AGUGAACGCUGGCGGUAGGCCUAACACAUGCAAGUCGAACGGCAGCACAGUAAGAGCUUGCUCUUACGGGUGGCGAGUGGCGGACGGGUGAGGAAUACAUCGGAAUCUACUUUUUCGUGGGGGAUAACGUAGGGAAACUUACGCUAAUACCGCAUACGACCUACGGGUGAAAGCAGGGGAUCUUCGGACCUUGCGCGAUUGAAUGAGCCGAUGUCGGAUUAGCUAGUUGGCGGGGUAAAGGCCCACCAAGGCGACGAUCCGUAGCUGGUCUGAGAGGAUGAUCAGCCACACUGGAACUGAGACACGGUACAGACUCCUACGGGAGGAAGCAGUGGGGAAUAUUGGACAAUGGGCGCAAGCCUGAUCCAGCAAUACCGCGUGGGUGAAGAAGGCCUUCGGGUUGUAAAGCCCUGUUGUUGGGAAAGAAAAGAAGCAGGUUAAUACCCCGCUGUUCUGACGGUACCCAAAGAAUAAGCACCGGCUAACUUCGUG
rnacentral:rRNA from 1 species